rnacentral:rRNA from 1 species
AUUGAACGCUGGCGGCAUGCCUAACACAUGCAAGUCGAGCGGAGCGGAGGACGGGUGAGUAAUGCCUAGGAAUGUGCCUGGUAGUGGGGGAUAACUACCGGAAAGGGGCGCUAAUACCGCAUACUAUCAGAUGGGCCGACGUCGGAUUAGUUAGUUGGUGGGGUAAAGGCCCACCAAGGCGACGAUCCGUAGCUGGUUUGAGAGGAUGAUCAGUCACACUGGAACUGAGACACGGCCCAGACUCCGACGGGAGGCAGCAGUGGGGAAUUUUGGACAAUGGGCGAAAGCCUGAUCCAGCCAUGCCGCGUGUACGAAGAAGGUCUUCGGGUUGUAAAGCACUUUCAGUUGGGAGGCGGUACCGACAGAAUAAGCACCGGCUAACUCCGUGCCAGCAGCCGCGGUAAUAC